GUGGGGAAUUUUGGACAAUGGGCGCAAGCCUGAUCCAGCAAUGCCGCGUGCAGGAAGAAGGCCUUCGGGUUGUAAACUGCUUUUGUACGGAACGAAACGGUCCGGGUUAAUACCCUGGGCUAAUGACGGUACCGUAAGAAUAAGCACCGGCUAACUACGUGCCAGCAGCCGCGGUAAUACGUAGGGUGCAAGCGUUAAUCGGAAUUACUGGGCGUAAAGCGUGCGCAGGCGGUUUUGUAAGACAGUCGUGAAAUCCCCGGGCUCAACCUGGGAAUUGCGCUUGUGACUGCAAGGCUGGAGUGCGGCAGAGGAGGAUGGAAUUCCGCGUGUAGCAGUGAAAUGCGUAGAUAUGCGGAGGAACACCGAUGGCGAAGGCAAUCCCCUGGGCCUGCACUGACGCUCAUGCACGAAAGCGUGGGGAGCAAACAGGAUUAGAUACCCGGGUAGUCC
rnacentral:rRNA from 1 species